AAGGAGCCCAAGAGCCAGGACAUCUAUCUGCGGCUGCUUGUCAAGCUGUACAGGUUUCUGGCCAGACAGACCAACUCCACCUUCAAUCAGGUUGUGCUGAAGAGGUUGCUCAUGAGCCGAACCAACCGGCCAUCUCUGUCCCUGUCCCGCAUGAUCUCCUGGCCGGGAGAACAAGACUGCUGUGGUUGUGGGGACGGUCACAGAUGAUGUGCAGAUUCUGCAAGUUCCCAAGCUGAAGGUGUGUGCACUGUGGGUGAGCAGCCGGGCCUGGAGUCGCAUCCUCAAGGCUGGGGGUAAGAUCCUCACCUUUGACCAGCUGGCCCUGAAGUCUCCCAAGGGCCGGGGCACUGUGCUCCUGUCUGGUCCUCCGAAGGGCUGAGAGGCAUUUUGGCAAGGCCCCAGGAACCCCACACAGCCAUACCAAACCCUAUGUCCGUUCCAAGGGCCGGAAGUUUGAGCGCGCCAGAGGCCGAAGGGCCAGCCGAGGCUACAAAAACUAACCC
rnacentral:lncRNA from 1 species